UCCACCGUAAGGUGGUGGAGGAAUAAGAGCUGGGCAAGACCGGUGCCAGCCGCCGCGGUAAUACCGGCAGCUCGAGUGGUGGCCGAUCUUAUUGGGCCUAAAGCGUCCGUAGCCGGCCACGCAAGUCCAUCGGGAAAUCCGCCAGCCCAACUGGCGGGCGUCCGGUGGAAACUGUGUGGCUUGGGACCGGAAGACCCGACAGGUACGUCUUGGGUAGGAGUGAAAUCCCGUAAUCCUGGACGGACCACCGAUAGCGAAAGCAUGUCGGGAAGACGGAUCCGACGGUGAGGGACGAAAGCCAGGGUCUCGAACCGGAUUAGAUACCCGGGUAGUCCUGGCCGUAAACGAUGUCUGCUAGGUGUGACUCCCACUACGAGUGGGUGUUGUGCCGUAGGGAAGCCGCUAAGCAGACCGCCUGGGAAGUACGUCCGCAAGGAUGAAACUUAAAGGAAUUGGCGGGGGAGCACUACAACCGGAGGAGCCUGCGGUUUAAUUGGACUCAACGCCGGACAUCUCACCAGCAUCGACAACGGUAAUGACGGUCAGGUUGAUGACCUUUCCAGAGCCGUUGAGAGGAGGUGCAUGGCCGCCGUCAGCUCGUACCGUGAGGCGUCCUGUUGAGUCAGGCAACGAGCGAGACCCGCACUCCUAAUUGCCAGCACCGGCUUCGGCCGGGUGGGUACAUUAGGAGGACUGCCGUGGCUAACACGGAGGAAGGAACGGGCAACGGUAGGUCAGUAUGCCCCGAAUGGACCGGGCAACACGCGGGCUACAAUGGCCAAGACAGUGGGAUGCGACACCGAGAGGUGGAGCUAAUCUCCAAACUUGGUCGUAGUUCGGAUUGAGGGCUGAAACUCGCCCUCAUGAAGCUGGAUUCGGUAGUAAUCGCGUGUCAGAAGCGCGCGGUGAAUACGUCCCUGCUCCUUGCACACACCGCCCGUCAAAGCACCCGAGUGGGGUCCGGAUGAGGCCUGAGUUCUCAGGUCGAAUC
rnacentral:rRNA from 1 species